CAAGGAUUCAAACUCCUCGCUGCUGACUUGAAGUUUGGUGUAAAAACUCCCAGCACAGGUUCCUGUUGUAAACGUCUUGAUUGAAGUGAUACCUGUACUGAAACAUCUCUGGAUGGAAGCAGAGUGUGAAGGUUGAGUGCAAAUUGCUGUGGAUUUCUUACAAGCCAAGGCUGGCACUGAAUUCUUUCUGGUUAAAGAGCAGAGAACGGCCCUGGCUGUGCCUUGGUUUGAGCUCGGUGUCACAGUCCUGCAGGAGAGCAGAUGUUUCCUGUGCUGAUGGGAGCAGCAGGAGCCUGGCAGCUCUCCUUCCUAGGGGGCUUUGCCCUUGGAAUGGGCUGGCACAGCCCUUUCCCAGUGCCAAAUUCACCUUUUAGAUCCCUCACAGUAGAACGGGGUGGGAUUGUGCUGUAAAGCAGUUAUUUACCUGCCUACACACUGAUGGCUGCUGUAUUCCACAGCCACGUAUGCUUUAUCUGCACAGCUGUGGCAGGUAAAGCCAGCAUUUCCCAGCUUCCUGCUGCUUUUUUUUUCCCCUGGAAAACUCUUUUGUUCUCUGCUGAACUCUGUGGUGUCUCCUCUGUCCUUUCCGUUGUGUUCCCAGUCUGUUUCCAACCUGUUCAAUCCAGCCUGCAGGUGGAAAUCAAUCAGUAAAUGAACAUUUCCUCCGUGCUGCUGCCAGUGUUGGAUGAAACUGAAUUUCAGGAUUUCCACCUUUUACUUUAUCUGGAGCAAACAAACUCCUUGGCAGGCAGAUUUGUUUUCUCUCACCCUUUCCACAGCUCAGCUGGAGCUCCUGCUGCCAUAAAUAAAGCAUCACAGUUGAUCCUUUGGCCUCAUUUCACCUCAGUUUCAGCCCAGGGCUGAGUCAGCAGCCCGGGCUGCCCUCGCUGACCAAGCCCAGCCUGGCUAAGCCAGUGAGGUAAGCCAGGCUUAUUUCUGUGCCAGCAGCAGAGGCUGCUGAGCUCAGGGCUGACUGAACUCCCAGGAAUGGGGUCUGGCUGUUCAGCUCAGCCUGAGCCCAGGUCCUUGUCUGCAGAUCAGCUCAGACCCUGAAUCUUUGAUCCUAAAUGCUCUGACAAUUAAUUUCUGCAUUGUAGCAAAGUCCGCAGAGCUGACUGGAACUGAUGAGGGGUAAGGAAGGAAAGUGUGGCACAAAGAGGAGGAAAUUUGGUACCAAUUUCUCCAUUUUUAGCAGAAGGAAAACCAGGAUUAUGAUUUAUUAUGAAAACAGACUUUAGUGUUUCUGUUACUUGUGACUUUGCAGUGUGAUUUCAGUCAGCUGGGAAAUAGAACAAAGCAACCUUGCAGAGAGUGGAAGGUAAAAGUUGAUUUUCCAGUUUGGUGCUUAGAGUAACCAGGAGUAAUUCCUGAUGUGGUGUUGCCUGUGAGGGCUGAGUUGGACUUUCUGUGCCAGAGCCUUGAGGGAGCUUUCCAUUGUGACUGUUUAAUGCACUUAUGACUAUUUUGUGUUACAGAAGUAACCCUUUAAAUGAAUGGAGAGAAAAAAUUCUAUGUUUCUGUUCACAUUGAAAAUGUUACUCCUGGUGGGAGGAAAUUUCCAUAGCUCUGAGGUUAUUUAGAAAUUCUAGUUCUGGCUUUUACCACACUGCUACUGUUUCCCACUGUAACCAGUAUCUAGUGGCAGAUUGCUGCUUUUCCUGGUUUUUUAAGGGUUGGCCAUGGAUGGGAUGGAUAGGGUUGGGUGAAUGCUCUGGCUGCAGCCUGGGAUUUGCUGAGUUCCACUGAUUUCCCCCCAGGUGCCGAGGCAGGGAAUUCUGCUGCUGGGGUCGCUGCAGAGGCUGCGAGCAGAGCUCAGUCCCCUCUGCUCUGUGUGUUUUGUGCCCAUUGUUGUGGUGUGUUGUCAUGGUGUGCCUCAGUUUCCCCGGUCCCUCAGGUGGGUGUCAAUCACCACCUCUCCUUUCCCCACCCUUGACCCCUGCUGGGCACUGUCCAUCGACCCAGAAAUUCCAAGAGGAGCAUCGAGGGAUUGGCAGGUUCAAAGGAUGCUCUCCCCCCACACCCAGGUGUCCCUCUCACCUGAGACCCCCUCCCCUCACGCCUGGUUGGUGCUCCCUGGGUUCUCUCCCCACGUAAAAGGGCAAGCAGACCACAGGGUCGGUGUUCUGUUGGAGCUGUUGCAGGAUUCAGAGGCCAUGCUGCCCAGAAUAAAAAAUCUGGAUUAAAAACUCCAUCAGGACCUGCUCCUUUCUUCACCUCGCCUCAAAGGUUCCUCCAGCUCAGGGAGGCCUGAGGAGUGCCCCCCUCAGCAGCAAGCUCCAGCCACAAGCUCUGGAGCUCGGGGCAUGCCCAGCUGUGACCUCAGGUACUGAACAGCGUCUCUGGGGAGGAACCUCCUCAGGUGCCGCUGUUUGGGCAGCAGCCGAGGCCAGACAGAGCAAGGCAGUCCCAUCAGUAACACUGAUAAAAUCCAACACCCGUGGUGCCAGCAGGAGGAGCG